rnacentral:RNase_P_RNA from 1 species
GUGGGAGGCUGGAUGGCUGCUUCGCUCAGCGAAGAGGAAAGUCCGAACUCCACAGGGCAGAAUGCUGGAUAACGUCCAGGCGGGGCAACCCGACGGAAAGUGCCACAGAAAAUAUACCGCCAGCCGGUGUUCCGGCUGGUAAGGGUGAAAUGGCGAGGUAAGAGCUCACCGCGAACCGGGCGACCGGGUCGGCAGGGUAAACCCCAUUCGGAGCAAGGCCAAAUAGGAGACAACAGGACGGCCCGUCCUGUCUCGGGUUAGGCCGCAUGAGCGGUACAGUAAUGUACCCCCCAGAUGAAUAGCCGUCCUCGACAGAAUUCGGCUUACAGGCCUCCCACUUUU